CCUUUCCAAGUCUAUUUCUGACUUCAGCCAUUGUUCACAUUAGAAGUAAAGAAAAAUAAGAGAAGCUUGAUCCCUGGUUGUUGAGAUGUUCAAAAUAGUGUACCUCAUAUAAGUGGAAUCAACAGUAUCUGUCUGCACCUACAAGACUGAAGGCAGGAGAAGGGGCUGACAGAGGACGAGAUGAUUGGAUGGCAUCACUGACUCGAUAGACAUGAGUCUGAGCAAGAUCUGGGAGUUGGUGAUGGACAAGGAAGCCUGGUCUGCUUCAGUCCAUGCUGUCACAAAGAGUUGGACAUGACUGAGUGAUUGAACUGAUUGUAUAUUAGAAUGCAGUUAUAAGAUUAUCUUAAUAAAUGUCCCAUAAACA